GUGCCAUGAUGUUACUAUCAACACAUCAUUCUGAAGAACAAUUGUGUGGAGACCUUUUGUAACUGAGCAGCA
rfam:Calypte anna contig71234, whole genome shotgun sequence.